GGUUAAAUCACCAUAAAUGAUUCCCGGGCGCUACACCGCUGCUGCCCACUGCUCCCCUCACUUCCCACGGGGUGAACAAGGGGAUGGGUCAAAUUUCACCACACCUAGUGUGUGUGUGACAAUCAUUGGUACUUUAACUUUAUUGUGUGUAGAAUUUUGAGGACAAAAAUGAAUCGAUGCGGUUUUAAAAUAACAUUUGGGGAAAAAAAGUGAAGCGCUGUGAGUACUUUCCGAAUACACUGUACAACCAUAGUAUACACAUUGAACCGUACUUUCGAAGUACAAUACAGCAUUCUAUUUGAAAUACAGCCAAUACAAAUGUUCGACGGGCUUCACGGUGGAAGAGGGGUUAGUGCGUCUGCCUCACAAUACGAAGGUCCAGAGUAGUCAGGGUUUAAUCCCAGGCUUGGGAUCUUUCUGUGUGGAGUGAAUGCGUGGGUUCCUUCUGGGUACUCCGGCUUCCUCCCACUUCCAAAGACAUGCACCUGGGGAUAGGUUGAUUGGCAACACUAAGUUGGCCCUAGUGUGUGAAUGUGAGUGUGAAUGUUGUCUAUCUGUGUUGGCCCUGCGAUGAGGUGACGACUUGUCCAGGGUGUACACCGCCUUCCGCCCGAUUGUAGCUGAGAUAGACACCAGUUCCCCCCACGACCCCAAAAGGAAUAAGCGCACAGUCAUAGAGAAGUCUCCACACAGGAGCCGUUUCUGUGGAAAGACCUGUGAUUGUGGCAAUUCUCACUGCAGUGGACGAUGAGCACCGGGUAGCAGAGUGCGUUGUCAUAGUCUGGAGGUUCUUCAUCGUCUGUGGUGAGGCGCUCUGAAAGACAGCGGGUGUUUUCACUGGGACUCUCCUGGUCGUCCAAACUGCCGCUUCUCCAAAAGCAGCUCCGUUGUGAUCCAUAGCGCCGAGCCAGGGAGAAUCUGCUGCCACUGAAGGGGAUUCGGGAGCUGGCUCCUGUACAGACGCUGAGGGCGCUUCUGGAGAACACUGAAGAGCAACUGAUGGCUCUGUGGCAUUGCUCACAGUUCUGCCGAAUGCCGCUGAAGUUGGAGGGGCAUUGGGCUAGGUCCAUGAGGCCUGCCUCUGAGUAACUGGGCACCAAUUGCUGAUUGGACCUAAUGUGCCACUCCAACUCUGUGCUGUCAAUGGUGUUUACACGAGGGAUGCGUCUCCAAUACGGGCGAUCAUCACAUGGUGUCACUGGGAUGUAAUCAUGUCCAAAGAGUUUUUCAACACGAUAGUGGACAUAUGCGGUGCGAUACUCCGUGAAGACCCGUAGAGGCCAUGAGAAGGUGCAUGCCCUCCCUGGCCUCCAUGUAGUCAUCAAGGCCCUCGUUGUCGGUGAAAAACCUGGCACGUUGUGUAAGGUAAGAAUUCUCAGACUCAACGUUGGCAAAGCUAAAACACUUGGUGAAGCGCAUCUUUGUGAGGGCGGACCUUUCUAAAUUGAGGAGUUGUUUGGAGACAUCUUUCACGCCGCAGUGACCAUAGUCAAAUUCAGCUUCGGCCACAUGAGUGUUGACUCGCUCGUGGUAAACCUGGGUGCUAGUGUAUGCAUCCCCAUUGCGAUAGCGUGUGACUUGCCGUGUGCGACGCACGUAGUGGUAGCUGAUGGCCUUCCACCAGAUGCACGGCUUAGCUUGCUGCAUUCUCUGGAUUCGCUCAUAUAUGCCCUCCACGUCUACUUUGUGUUGCAACUCGUUCUUGGCGUGACAGUGCCAGCACUCCACCAGGUAGACCAGGUAGAGCAUGCCCAGCAGAGCCAGAGGGAUGUAUAUGUAGCCAUCAGAGCAGGGGCUGUCAUGGUACAUCAUGGAUUUCCCUUUGAAUGCGCUGUCAAAUGUGAGGCGGGUCACCUCUGUGACGUGACACCAAACCAUCGCCCCCAUGCAGCCGUACAUGAGAAUAGACAGGAGAAGACAUUUCCAGAAACUCUCCCGACACAACGACUUGCUCAGCGAUUGCUUAUGGGGUUUUUGCUGAAGAAGAAAAACAGAGAAAAAAAUCAAGAAAAACAUUUCUGUCUAACAUAUUCAAAGACUGAUUAGUUUUACUCUAAUCCAUGUGUUUAACUUCUUUUUGUAUAAAUGUUAUUAAAACUUGGAGCCAGUGUCACGUAAUGGAUUGUAUGUUUCACCAUGGAGGCAGUCCUUGGUUCAUGGCGUCUUGUGUUACAAUGAUUUGUGUUUCAACAUUUUGGGUUACUAUGUUUUGUUAGGACGUUUCGUGUUGCAUUGGUUUGUAUGGUACAAAGUUUUGUGGUACAACGUUUUGUGGUACGACGUUUUGUGGUACGGCGUUUUGUAGUACGACGUUUUGUGGUACAAUGAUUCGUGGUACGAUGUUUCGUGGUGCCAUGAUUUGUGGUACAACGUUUUGUGGUAUGACGUUCUGUGGUACAAAGUUUUGUAUUACCACGUUUUGUGUUACUACAUUUUGUGGUACAACAUUAUGUUAUAUAUUUUUAUGUUAUGACCUUUUGUGUUACAUAAUUGUGUGCUACAUUUAGUGUUAGGUUUUGCAUUACAAUGUUUUGUGUUACGAUGAUUAGUGUUACGAUGGUUAGUGUUACGACGGUUAGUGUUACGACAGUAUUACGACGGUCAGUGUUACAACGGUCAGUGUUACGACAUUUUGUUACCCGUUUUAUGUUACAACAAUACAGUGUUUUGUGUUAUCCAGUAUUGUAAAAGUAUUGAAGUACAAAUACUUUGUUGCUGUACCUAAAAAUAUUUUUUACGUUACUUCGUUAUUUACAUUUCUGACAACUUUCACUUUUACUGCACUACAUUUCCGGCAUAUCAGGUACUUUAAGAAUUUUACUCAGGUAAUUAUCUAAAAGAUUACUUCAAUGUCUACAAAAGUAAUUUUUUUUGGUCAGGUACUUUUUCGUAGUCAAAUAUUGCUUUCAAGUACUUUAUACAAGACUGGUGUUAUCACAUCAAGUGUUACAUGGUUUUGUGUUAUGGUGUUUUGGGUUAUGAUGUUUCGUGUUACAACAUUUCGUGCUAUUACAUUUCUUAAAUCUAUUUAAAGGGGAACUGCACUUGUUUAAAAUGUUGCCUAUCAUUCACAAUCACUAUGAAAGGCAUGAUGAUGGGUGUUUUUUUUUUGUAUUCUAAAUAUUAAAUAAAUGCGAUCAAAAGUCCACUACAAUGGAACCUAUGUUAGCCGUUCCAUUCUGCCUAUAAAGCCCCCCAAAAAACAUCCAAACACCUACAUUAGGGUUUUAUAUACAUGAUGUAAGUAUAUAUGUAAUUGUAGUAACGGGCACAUGUAUAAUAGCAUUUAACAUAUAAAUAUUUUGAUAAUUUUAAGCAUAUGUGGCGCAUUAAUUUCAAAAUCACAUUACAGCGUUUGCUUUUUUUUCUUCUCUCCAUCACUGAUUUCUGCUCACUGCAGACUUUAUGAGGGCCAACAAACAUAAUAAAACACAACUUAUUUAAGGUCUGCUUUCAUUAGAAUGUAUUUUUAAGUUGUUCAACAGUUCGAGGUCCUAAAUAGCUGUCGAAGUAUUCCAACUUGUUGCAUUACAUCCUCUGCCAUCUACUUUCCAGGUGAGAGGCAUGAUUUAUUAACUCCAAUAAACUUACAGGGAGCAGGGAAGCGAGGAAGGAGCAGACAACUCAAUGAUGUAAACAUAGGCACACACUUUAGUGUUCACGACGCCGCUAUAAAUAGUUAAUCUGCAAUAGCGCUUAUAUCAAUAUCACUAAUACUUGAUUAAUAUUCAACUUACAAAAUGUAAAUGGAAUAUUGUUGGCGCUUUAUGAAUGGGUAUUUAUUUAAUUUUAUGGGCGUAAUCGAACCCCUCCCAUUUGCUCCGCUGUAAGCAAACUUUUCUUUACGUUCAUUUAAUACUUAGAAUGCAUAAAAAAAAAACAUACAUCUGUCAUCAUGUCUUUCAUAGUGAUUGUAAACAAUAAGCAAAAUCUCCAUAAAAGUGCAGUUCCCUAUUAAGUGUUGUUUAGGGGUAGGGGUUUUGGGAACAAGUGACUUUAUUUUCAUGUGGCUUAGAACUCCUGGCAGCGGCCCAGCUUGAGUACAAUAUAUUUUGGUCUAAAAGUCGACUUGCAGCGCGUCGUAGAAGAAGAACUCCUUCAUAAACGGAGGACCCCCUGCAUAAAUGUUUUUGGACUGUGAGUGGGAGCACAGGCGCCGAUCUACAUUUUAGCCAGCGGGUGCUCUGUGUGUGUGUAUUAAAAAAAAAAUAGACGUUCAGCGAAGUUAAUAUCCCAUAUGAUUUGUGGCUUUAUUAUUUUGUAAACUGGACCAAACUCGCCACAAAAUUAACUACAACAAGAUUGAUUUUUCAAAAAUUAUUUUAAAAAUUUAAAGUCGCCCUCAAUCCCACAUGGGUGCUCGGCAUUGUCCGUGGGUGCUCGGGCCCCGAAGCACCCACGGGAUCGGCGCCUAUGAGUGGAAGUACCCACUCAGGCAGAAAUGUGAGACACCAUUCUAAAAAAAAAAAAGGCAGCACGGUGAAACAGGGGUUAGUGCCUGUGCCUCACAAUAAGAAGGUCCUGAGUAGUCCUGAGGAACGUUCCCUCUCAGGUAAGCGCCUGUGCAAUUGCACGCUGCUCACGGGGGCUUCACGGUGGCAGAGGGGUUAGUGGGUCUG